rnacentral:sRNA from 1 species
AAGAAAGGGGAGUAGAGCGGCAGUGCCGCCAGUGCUAGGGUUAGCAGCUUGGCGCCUGCUCCCUCCCGUCUUUGGCGGCGGCGCUUCAUCUGAUCCACAGAGGCAGCGCGAGAUCUGGUGGCAGGACGGCACAAGAUGAUGGCUGUGGCUGCUGCUGAGGGGUCUCCGUCGGUGCGGUAGCGGUGAGGUCAUCGUCGUCGUCUUGCUCAUAUCCUGCCUGCUGUGCGUGUGCAGCCUGAGCGCCAUUGUCAGUAGCGCCGUGGCCUGCUGUCGAGAGGAUUGUCUCUCUCGUUGAUGAUUGUUUCUCCUAUACUCUCUAUCCUUCGAUUGUUUUUUUUUUCAGAUUUCUAACACGUAAUCUUUGAAUGAUUGAAUCC